GAUGAACGCUGGCGGCGUGCCUAAUACAUGCAAGUCGAGCGAACAGACGAGGAGCUUGCUCCUCUGACGUUAGCGGCGGACGGGUGAGUAACACGUGGAUAACCUACCUAUAAGACUGGGAUAACUUCGGGAAACCGGGGCUAAUACCGGAUAAUAUAUUGAACCGCAUGGUUCAAUAGUGAAAGACGGUUUUGCUGUCACUUAUAGAUGGAUCCGCGCCGCAUUAGCUACUUGGUAAGGUAACGGCUUACCAAGGCAACGAUGCGUAGCCGACCUGAGAGGGUGAUCGGCCACACUGGAACUGAGACACGGUCCAGACUCCUACAGGAGGCAGCAGUAGGGAAUCUUCCGCAAUGGGCGAGAGCCUGACGGAGCAACGCCGCGUGAGUGAUGAAGGUCUUCGGAUCGUAAAACUCUGUUAUUAGGGAAGAACAAAUGUGUAAGUAACUAUGCACGUCUUGACGGUACCUAAUCAGAAAGCCACGGCUAACUACGUG
rnacentral:rRNA from 1 species